rnacentral:rRNA from 1 species
GUAGGUGGCAAGCGUUGUCCGGAAUUAUUGGGCGUAAAGCGCGCGCAGGCGGUUCUUUAAGUCUGAUGUGAAAGCCCACGGCUCAACCGUGGAGGGUCAUUGGAAACUGGAGAACUUGAGUACAGAAGAGGAAAGCGGAAUUCCACGUGUAGCGGUGAAACGCGUAGAGAUGUGGAGGAACACCAGUGGCGAAGGCGGCUUUCUGGUCUGUAACUGACGCUGAGGCGCGAAAGCGUGGGGAGCAAACAGGAUUAGAUACCCUGGUAGUCCACGCCGUAAACGAUGAGUGCUAAGUGUUAGGGGGUUUCCGCCCCCCUUAGUGCUGCAGCUAACGCAUUAAGCACUCCGCCUGGGAGUACGGCCGCAAGGCUG